rnacentral:lncRNA from 10 species
UGUAAAUUAAAAUGUAAAUAAAAUGCAACAAAUUCGUGGGUGGAAGACAUGAACAUGACUUUUUUCUAUUUUAAAAACCAUUUGAUGUAUUCUAAAAAAAGAAAAAGAAAAGAAAAACAGAAGAGAACCAACUAAAAGAGCUUCCCAGAUGUCCAAUAGAUGCUGCCCGAAGUAAAACGCAUACUCUAAUAUUUGUUAUUCAAAUUUGCAUGUAAGGGUUUUUAACCUCCCUUUAUUUUAUACUUGUACAGGGUAACGUAUUGUAACUGAAACACUCCUCCUAAUUUAUUCUGGCUGUGAAAAGCCUAUGGAAACAUUCACUUCCAUAGGAGUAAUAUGUAUCUAAACAGUAUAUUUAGGGAAAGCACUAAUAGAACACAAACAACUAAUUACUGAUGCUUUUAAGGAGGAACCGCAACAAUAAUUGUGCACUGUCUUAGAUAAAAUUAAUAUAGAAUUUAAUAUUUGUAGACCACAAAAAAGCCCUAAUCGUGGACCGCAGAUUAGAAAGAACAGGCUUUAGCACACUGUGUAUCUUUGUAGUAUUCAGACUCAGCUGCCACUGCGAUUUCCAUCAGCUGCUGUUAAGUAAAUAAUAUACUAUGGAAAUAUGACUGAGUAGGAAUUGAAAAUAAAAUGCUUUAAGAAGGAAUAAAAUUGGGAUGUCAAGAAAUCAAAGUUGAUUGUCUUUAAGAUAGAAGGUUAGUAGUUACAAACUGCAGCGAAAAUAUAUACAUUGAUGAGCAAAUCUCCACGAAGUAAAAAGUUCAGAUGUUGGAUACUACCAAGGCAAAAUAGAGUGAAAUAGGAAGAAAUUAAGUCUUUGAGACACAUGUAGAAAGAACAAAGAAGCCUCUUGACUUCAAUUUUGUUUUUAAAAUUCCAGUAGAAGAUGUUUAUGCAGAGAAACCUUAAGGAAUUCUUCAUUGUCAUGUCACAAUUUUGAUCUUGUUGAAUUAAGAAAGACAGGGAAAAGUUGAAAAACAAAUAAGCAAAAUGUGAAUUUACUAUUGAACUCUUAUGGGUUUGUAAUGCAGAAUUGUGUUUUUCCUUUCCUACUUGUUGGUCAGGUUCUUUUUAAUCAUAAGAAGGAAAAUAUUUAAAAUAUAAUUUUAUACAUGGUACAAUUGUCUCCCCUUAGCCUUGGCUCGCUUUCUGUGGUUUUAGUUACCCGCGGUCAACUGUGGUCUGAAAAUAUUAAAUGGAAAAUUCCAGAAAUAGACUAUUCAUAAGUUUUAAAGUUUGUGCUGCUUUGAGCAGCAUAAUAAAAUCUUGCACCACCCCACUUCAUCCCACCCAGGAUGUGAAUCAUCCUUUGUCCAGCAUCUCCAUGCUAUAUGUAGCUACCCCUUAGUCACUUAGUAACCAUCUUGAUGAUCACAUCUACUGUUGCAGUAAUAUCACACAGCAUCACUUAUGUUCAAGCAACACUUGUUUUGCUUAAAAUGACUGCAGAGUUCAAAAGUAGUGAUGUUGGGAAUUCAGAUAUGCCAAAGACAAGCCAUAGGUACAUCCUUUAAGAGAAAAGGCGAAAGUUCUCAAAUUAAUAAGGAAAGAAAAAAUAUUGCAUACUGAGGUUGCUAAGAUCUAGUGUAAGAAUGGAUCAUCUAUUAAUGAAUUUGAAAAGAAUGAAAGGUAAAUUUAGGCUAGUUUUGUUGUCACACUUCAAACUGUAAAAGUUACAGCCACGGUGCAUAAGUGCUACUUAAAAUGCAAAAGGCACUAAAUUUGCUGUUGGAAGACAUGAACAGAAACGUGUUCCGAUUGACGACAAUCAGAUUCAGUGUUAUCUGCAGUUUCAGGCAUCCACUAGGGCUCAUGGAAUGCAUCCUCUGCAGAGAAGUGGGGACUACUGUCUUAAUAAUAGAAUGAAUAUAACAUAGCUUAUGCUGGGCAAAAUAUCUUUCUUCUGUUAAUUUGUUUGAACAAAAAACAGUGACAAAUGAAACAGAAACUUGGUUUAGGAGAGUGUUUCUUACUGAUUUGAAUGUUCUAAGUAGUAGUGACAAUGUACUUACAUUGGCAGGAUUCUUAACUUGAACUCAGUCACAAUGCUUCUCAGGAAUUCCCUAUACUCGUGUUAACUGUGAAGAGUGGGAGUUCCAGGCCAAAACGAUAAGGACUAUGUACCUCAGGCAAGGUCAAUUUAAAGGUUACAAAGUUUGGGUUGCUAUGAAAACAUUAAAUAGAGAAAGGUGUUCCCUUGCCGAGAGCUAUGUAGUGCCAGUUUUCCAAAUCAGAGGAACUUCUCUCUUCCCUGGACAUCCUUGACCUGACUCUACUCUCUCGAUUCCCAGAAUUCGGGUAUAGUAGUUAUGUUGUUUUCAUUGUCCUGAUGAUAUCAGAUAAGUAGAUUGGUUACAAGAACUCCAAGGAUGCAUUCUUCAAUAUGUGAUUUUACAACCUGGUAUAUUUAAAGAAAGGGGCUUUGAUUCAAUGACAGGGUUAUUUUUACCUAGCUUUUCAACUCAGAAAGCACAGAUACUUAUAAAUGCCCACUAAGCAUCAGGAAGUUGUGUUAGUUGGAUGAGAGAAUGAGGGGUGUGGUGUAUGUGUAUAUAAAUACAUGUAUAUGGAAAGGAAUAUCUAUAUUAGACAUCACAGUUAACAUUUAAAACAUGGUUGUGAAAAAAAAUAAAACCAACAGUAGCUAUGGCUUGGACUUACCUCUUUUGCAGUUAUCUUCCUAUUAUUAGAUAAUCUACUUGGUAAAAUUGCAUGGUACAAGAGGAUUAUUAAUAAAUAAUCAUUAAAAAUGGCUAGUUCAUUCAGACUAUUCUCCAUACUCCUGCUGUUGUUAUUGCAAUAACUUUCCAAAUUUUCUAAAUCCAUGAAUACCCUUUCAAUGAAUAUAAUUUUUCUACAUUAUCUUCCUACCUCUCUCUCUCUCUGCUUUUAUCUUAAUUGAUAAUGAAACCCAGUAAGGUAAGUGAUUAUUUAGACCAAUAACAUUGAACAAAUCAAUCAUUCCUAAAUGUAGGACCCAAACUUAUAUCACAGAAUUGUGUGUGUGUGUGUGUGUGUGUGUGUGUGUGUAUGGACUUGAAUUGAUUUUUAUUUUAACCUCCACUUCUUUUCGUAGUAAACAACUUCUCUCAGAUUUCCAAAGAUAAAAACAUAGAUUCAUUCAUUCAUUUAUUCACUGUUUGAGUGCUUAGUAGGUGCCAGGCUCUGUUCUUUGUGUUAAAUAUUCAAAGGUGAAUGAAAUUCAUGCGAUUUCUAUUCUUAUGGAGCUUAUGCUUUCUCAGUGUUAAAUUUUCUAUUCUCCUGAACUUACUUUCUAUAAUUCAUGUCUUUUUAUCUUUAAGUGCUUCCAUGUCACUAAUGAGAGUUUUCCUCAUGAGAAGAACAGAUUUGUAUUUUGCUAUUCUGGGAUAAACAAGACCAAUAUAUUUACAUUUUUCUUACAGAUGCACAUCCUUAUCUAUUUGGAAACAAUGAAUGCUUUUUGCUAUUCUCUUUCAAAUUUAAAGAUCAAUUGAGUAAAAUAUUAAUAUAUGCUGAUGUAAUGUUGACUGUAAAGUAUUAGCUCCUGUCUCAAUUGUGGUUUAUUAGUCAUGCUUGAAUUUUGUGUUUAUUGAUUAUAAAUAUUUACUUUUAUUUUGUCAUAGAUUUUGAUUUCAAAUGUAAUUUUUGCAACAUAAAUGCCCAUUCAAACUCUGUAAUUUGGUCCUUAUCCUUAAUUUAUACAUUCUAAUAAGC